UACGGAGGGUGCAAACGUUGCUCGGAAUUAUUGGGCGUAAAGCGCACGUAGGCGGCUCCUCAAGUCGGAUGUGAAAGCCCUGGGCUCAACUCAGGAGGUGCAUCCGAAACUGUGGAGCUUGAAUGCCGGAGGGGCCCAGAGAAUUCCCGGUGUAGAGGUGAAAUUCGUAGAUAUCGGGAGGAAUACCAGUGGCGAAGGCGGGUUGCUGGGCUGACACUGACGCUGAGGCGCGAAAGCUAGGGGAGCGAACGGG
rnacentral:rRNA from 1 species